UCCCUGGUGGUCUAGCGGCUAAAGAUCCUACGCUGUCACCACCGAGAACUGGGUUCAAUUCACGGGCAGGGAA